CGACCACUUCUAUUCAUCAUCAACCCGGGCCAAGAGCCGGGAUGAGCUUCCUUCCAGAUGGUCGAUCUUCCUCUUCGCAGCUGAUAGUUCCACCUUAAGGGCGCUAAUCCUGGCUUCUUGAACCCAAAUUCGGUCGCUGGUGCUCUUCUUGCAUUCCUCGAGCUCCUUUGUGAAGUUCGCCUUCCUCCGGCUGUAAUCCAUGAUUGCCUUCACUUGGAGACUCCUAAAGUGGGCGGCCUCAGCGGCGGCUUCGGAAUGGCAUUCUCUCGACUUGCGGAGCUUGCCUUCUGACUUCUUCAACUUCUUCGUUAGGUGGAGGACCUCCUUUUUCAGCCGCUGGAUAGUUGAUUUCAGCGGGACCCCCAGGGGCAAGGGGAGUGCUUCAGCAGGGCACUGCCAUUGGAAGGUGCAAGCGUCAAAGAUCGACUCAUUACAAGAAAAAAAGCAGAAAGGAGGAGGAGAGGGAA
rnacentral:lncRNA from 1 species